GCUCCCGUAGUGUAGCGGCCAAUCAUGCUGGCCUCUCGAGCCAGCGACACGGAUUCAAAUUCCGUCGGGAGCA
rnacentral:tRNA from 1 species